GCGAUGGGGGCUGCAAUGGCACCCUCAUACGCGAAUGCAUUUAUGUUUCAAUUUGAAAGCCAGUAUAUCCUCAAUCAAGCACCCAACAACAUCUUGGCGUAUUAUCGUUUUGUUGACGAUGUGUUUCUGUUAUGGAAGGGCUUAUCGAGUGAAUUGGAAGAGAUGAUAUUCAAUAUUAAUAAAUUGCCCCUACCAGUUAAGUUUACUUUGGCCUAUAGUGAG